CUGACAUACACAGACACACUGACACACACACACAGGCAUAUUGACAUACACAAACACACACAGACAUACUGACACACACACUACAUUUAGCCACUCUCCAGGUUCUUACCUUUUCUGGAGGGUGGUUUCCCUGGGGUCCAGUGGCAGGCUGUGGCAGUUGGGAGUUAUCUUCUAGAACUCCCCUCCUCCCUGCCUUCCUCCUAC